ensembl:snRNA U4 U4 spliceosomal RNA
AGCUUUGCACAGUGGCAUGAUUGUAGUCAAUGAGGUUUAUCCAGGGUGACAUUAUUGCUAAUUGAAAAUUUUUCUCAAUACUCCACCAUGACGACCAGAAAUAUAGUUGGUGUUGACAAUUUUUGACAGUCUCUACAGAGG